AUGUCGCCGGCUGUUGCACCGCCCACCGCCGAGGCCGGACCUGAUCCACCGGCUCAGCAUCCCGAGGUAGAGAUCAUCACCAUGCGCGUGGUCUCGGCAGCGGAAGAUGCCGACGAGGCCGAGCCGGCCGUGGAUACCACCAGCUUAUCGUGCCCAGUACUGCUGGUUCCCACAUCAUCGUCCUUGGCCAAAGGCAUGCACGUGCUGCUCGUCCAGCCCGCCACGGACUCGCCGGCGGCGUCGCUGGUCCCCGCCAGCCGCGGGGACGACGCACCGGCUGUUCAGCAGGCGAGGGAUAAGGACGCCCGCAACAGCAAGGCCGCCAGGGAGCUCCGGGGCUGGCUGAUGGUCCUCGCCACCGUGAUCGCCUCCAUCACCUACGCCUCAGGGCUCAACCCGCCCGGCGGCUUCCAAGGCGGAGGCGGGGACAGGGUGACGCCCGUCCUCCGCGCCACGAGCCCCAGGAGGUACACCACCUUCUACUACUGCAACACGUCCGCCUUCGCGCUGUCCCUCUCCAUCGUGCUCCUGGUGGCCAGCCAGGACCUGCGGAGGCUCGCCAAGAUCAAGGUGCUGGAGAUCAUCGUGGCGCUGGACGUGCUCGCGCUGCUCAUGGCCUACAUCGUCGGCUCCACGUUCGGGUUGGAAGAGCUCGGUGUUUGCGCCGGCCUGGUGCUCAUCGUGCCGGUGGCCCUCGUCGUCAUGUCGUCUCGCAUCUGUGGGAAAUACUUCUGGGACGAACUCUGA
rnacentral:rRNA from 1 species